AUGAAUAAUAUCGAUUUGAGCAAAGAAAUAAUAUCUCACCCAAUGAAUUAUAAUGACCUGUAUAGUAAUUUUAUAAACAAUAAUAUAAAAUAUUAUAAUCAUGUAAAAGAUAGUGAAACAAUACUUGGCGAUAUAGAUUUAUAUUUGUUUCUUUUGUUUUCCCAAAUAAUUAAUAAUAAUCUUGAAAAUCAAGUGAAAGUAUUAGGAGAAAAUGUGUUUAUUAAACAAAUUGAAAAUUUUAAAAUGAUUAAUAAUAUUGUUAAAAGAAUAAUAUUAAAUAAUAUGAUGAAAGAAAAAUUAAAAUUUUAUUUUCUUACUUUAUAUAUUGUUAAAAUUAGUACAUUAAAUAUUUUUAAUGGCAAUUCAACGGAUGACAUUUUUUUGGAUUAUUCAGUUUUGUUUAAGCUAUUAAAUAAUUUGUUAUUCUUUUCAUAUAUUCAAGAGAAAAAAAUGAAGGACAAUAUGGAAAUAUGUGAAGGAGUAAACGUAAAAAGUAAAGGCGAAUGUUUGGUAAAAACUCACAACGACAAGGGGUUAUACAAAAACAAGAGUGUAAGUAAAAGAUGUAAAAACAGUGCAAAAAACAGUGCAAAAAACAGUGCAAAAAACAGUGCAAAAAACAGUGUAAAAAACAAAGAAGAAGACAUGGAAAAGGGCGUGGAAAAGGGCAUGGAAAAAAACAAGAAAAAAAACAAGAAAAAAAAUAAAGAAGACACGUUAGGUUAUACAACCUAUUGUUACAACUACUUUUAUAAAUUAAAAAAAUGGCAAGAUCAAAAAAAUGGGAAGCCUAAUAUAUACAGAUACGAAUUACAAAAAAAACAGAAAUCUCAAAUGAAGUGUACAUAUGAUGAACUUUUUAAUAUUAUUAUUUAUUUUUUACACAAUGAAAAACUACUAGCCAAUCAUAGGGAUAAAUAUAUUAAAACUUUUAUAGAACAAUUAUUAAAAACACCUAAAUUAUCUUUUUCUUUUUUUAUUUAUCUAAUCCUUUGGUUAAAUAACAUACAUGUACAUAUAGAUUAUCAAGGUUAUAUUAAUAACAGUAAAAAGGAUCAGUUAAUUUUGAUAAAAAAUGAAAGACAAAAAAAUGACAUGUUCGGUUCAAACAGAAAUGAAGAAAUAAAAAAUAUAAAACCAUCACAAUUAUAUUUUUGUGAAAAUAAUACACAAACAAGUGAAAUAAGUCAAAUAAACAUAUUGGAAAAUAGAGAUGAACAAAUUGAGGAAUUACACUUAGAAAAUAGAAAUAGUAAAAAUAAUAGAAAUAAUAUAAAUAAUAGAAAUAAUAUAAAUAAUAGAANNNNNNNNNNUAUAAAUAAUAGAAAUAAUAUAAAUAAUAGAAAUAAUAUAAAUAAUAUAAAUAAUAUAAAUAAUAUAAAUAAUAGAAAAGGAGAAAAGGACAAUAAUAAUAAUAAUAAAGUAAAUAUGGGUUUGGGUAAAAUUGUAGGAGAAGAGCAAACAGAUUUUCAACAUAGUUGUACAAACGUUGCAUCUUCAGAUAUUGGUGACACGAACAUAUCCGAUACGAAUAUGUCUAACACGAGUUUAUCCGAUACGAAUAUGUCUAACACGAGUUUAUCCGAUUCGAAUAUGUCUAACACGAGUUUAUCCCAUUUCGAAGUUGAAUCGAAUGAAAGUGAUGAACAUAGUUGGUCGGAUGAAGAGAAAAACAACGAACUAAAUAAUAGUAUAAAAGGAAAAAAUAGUAAUGGCAACAGUUGUGAUAAAUGUGAAACAUGGACGUUACAUUGCGUACAUAAUGAACUGGACAAAAAUUUAUUUAAUAUAAAUUAUUAUAUUAAAUACUCACAAAGACGUUCAAAUAGUGCUAAUUAUUAUAUUCUUAGUUUUUCGUUAAUUUCUAAUUUAUUAAAAAAGAAUCAAAACAUAAAAGCGAAAAAAACUAUAUUAGCUAUAUAUAUGAAUACAUUAUUUCAAUCGAAUAAUGAAAUAAGAACAAUUUUAAAAAAAUUGAUUACUGCUUCAAAAGGAAUUUAUAACAAUUCAUUAAAUUUUAUGGUAUAUACAAAAAAAAUAUAUAAUUUUUAUCAUAAAAUUCUUAUUUUAUUUUUAUUAUAUAUAUGUAAUAUAUAUAUUCCUAACUUGAAAAAUGAUAUAAAUUAUUUUAUUUAUUUUCCUUUUUAUUUAUGGCCUCUAGAGUUAAUUAAUUUUAUUCAUAACUUUUUAGUUAACAAUUAUGUACUCUUUUAUAAUAAUAUAAUAUCUCUUUUUGUAAAUUCAAAUCAAGUGGAAAUAUAUGAAAAAAAAAUAAUUGCUUCAAAAAAAAAAUAUUCAUUUAUUGAUAAUAAAUUAAAUGAAUAUAUAAAUAACCUUGACAACACAAACAUCAUGCAGUCAUUAGAAUCUUUUUUGAAAGAAACUGAUUUUUUUUUUAACGCUGAUAAAAAAACUUUACAAAAAGAGGAUGGUAAUAAUAAUAGUGAUAAUAGUGAUAAUAAUAAUAAUAGUGAUAAUAAUAAUAGUAAUAAUAAUAAUAGUGAUAAUAAUAAUAGUAAUAAUAAUAAUGAUAGUGGUAAUAAUAGUGAUAAGAGAAAUGAACAAAAAAAAGACACAUUAGCAGAUACAUGUGAAAAAAUGCAAAGUAACAUAUAUGAACAAUCACGAAAAGAAGAAAAAGAAUGUUUGUUAAAUGAUGUUAUAUCUCAAAAGGCAUUACUUGAAGAAAUUAUCGUCAACUUGUUUUUAAAAAUUGUUGAUUUAUUAGAAGAUAAAAAAUUAAUUAUAAAAAUAAAAAAAGCUAAUAUUUUUUUUAAUUUUUUAACUAUUGAUUAUGUUAGUAAGUUAUGUCAAUUUAUUUUAAUAAAUAUAGAAAAAAUUUAUGAAAAAAAUAAAAAUAAAUUUUGGACAAAUUUUUAUAUUCUACUGAAUGAAAUAUCAGAAGAUAAUAAAAAUAAAAUAACAGAUCAAAUAAAAAUUGUAGAAUUACGACAAGUAUCAAACUUUUUUUUAAACGCAAUUGAUAACUUUUUAAGUAUAUGUGUAAGAUCAACUAUGUUUUUUCAUUUUUAUUUAUUAACAUAUAAUAAUUGUAGUAAGAAAGAAAUAAAGGAAAUUUUAUUAAGUAAGUUUAUUUUAACCUUACCAUUACUUAAUUCGUUAUACCAUGAAGAAAUAUAUAGAAUUUUAAAAUAUAACAACAAGGUGAGUAAUAAUAGGAGUGAUAAUGAUAGAUAUGAAACGAGUGAACAAUCAGAGAUGGUAAAUAAGACCGAACUAGUGGAUGAUGGGGUAAAUAAGACCGAACNNNNNNNNNNCGAACUAGUGGAUGAUGGGGUAAAUAAGACCGAACUAGUGGAUGAUGAGGUAAAUAAGGCCGAAAGUGAUGAAAAAAUAAAUGAUAAAAACAAUUUAUUACAUAUUAACAUAGAAAUUGUUAAAUAUGUAAGUAAAAAUUUAUAUGAACAUAUUUCAGGGUGUAGUAAUAAUAUAUGGGAAAGUCAUUUACACUUUUUAAAUUUUUGUUAUAAUUUAUAUCUCGAAAAUAAUAAUAUAUAUUUUAUUAUUGAAUUAAUUGCAUUUUUAAAAAAAGAACAAAUUUUAUAUAUACUCAAUGAAAUAAUAAAAAAUGAUUUGAAGGAAAAUAAAAAAAUUGAAAUAUUAAAAAUUUGUUUUAAUAAUAUUAUUAAAUUACCAUAUUUAUAUAUUUCAGAAAAACAAAAUGAAAAUGAAUCUUAUUAUAUAACAAAUAUUGAUAUAUUUUAUUUUUUUUAUAAUUUAAAUAAAAAUAAAAAUAUUCAAAAAGUUAUGUUAGAUUAUUUUGUAACUAAAGUUAAUAUAAAUAAUGUAUCCAAAGACCAAGAACAGAAUAAAAAUUUUAAUAGUAUUUCAAUCAAAGAUGUAGCUAAUAUAAUACAACAAGUGGCUGAAAAUUGUGAUACUAUAUUCCCUAUAUAUGGAAGGUUCUUAUGCCAAAUUACUAAAAAUAUUAUUAUAUUAAGAGAAUUUAUAAGUAGUAUUAUUAUUCCUUUGUUAAUACAAAAAAAAAUAUGGACAAAUAAAUUUUUAUGGAAAGGCUGUCUAAUGUGUAUACAUAUGCUUUGGUCCGACUUCAAACAUUCGUUGUUUUACAUCUUUUUUAUGUUACCACAGUAA
rnacentral:lncRNA from 1 species